AGCUCAUUUGGUAGAGCAUUUGUCUCAAGAACAAAGUGUAGCAGGUUCGAUUCCUGCC
rnacentral:tRNA from 1 species